rnacentral:rRNA from 1 species
GUGGGGAAUAUUGGGCAAUGGGCGCAAGCCUGACCCAGCAACGCCGCGUGAAGGAAGAAGGCUUUCGGGUUGUAAACUUCUUUUACCAGGGACGAAACAAAUGACGGUACCUGGUGAAUAAGCCACGGCUAACUACGUGCCAGCAGCCGCGGUAAUACGUAGGUGGCGAGCGUUAUCCGGAGUUAUUGGGUGUGAAGGGCGUGUAGGCGGGACAGCAAGUCAGAUGUGAAAACCAGAGGCUCAACCUCUGGCCUGCAUUUGAAACUGUUGUGCUUGAGUGUCGGAGAGGUAAUCGGAAUUCCGUGUGUAGCGGUGAAAUGCGUAGAUAUACGGAGGAACACCAGUGGCGAAGGCGGAUUACUGGACGAUAACUGACGCUGAGGCGCGAAAGCGUGGGGAGCAAACAGGAUUAGAUACCCGAGUAGUCC